rnacentral:rRNA from 1 species
GACGAACGCUGGCGGCGUGCUUAACACUUGCAAGUCGAACGGAAAGGCCCUGCUUUUGGGGGGUGCUCGAGUGGCGAACGGGUGAGUAACACGUGAGUAACCUGCCCUUGACUUUGGUAUAACUUCAGGAAACUGGGGCUAAUACCGGAUAGGAGCUCCUGCUGCAUGGUGGGGGUUGGAAAGUUUCGGCGGUUGGGGAUGGACUCGCGGCUUAUCAGCUUGUUGGUGGGGUAGUGGCUUACCAAGGCUUUGACGGGUAGCCGGCCUGAGAGGGUGACCGGCAAAAUUGGGCCUGAGAUACGGCCAAGACUCCUACGGGAGGCAGAAGUGGGGAUUAUUGACCAAUGGGCGGAAGCCUGAUGCAGCAACGCCGCGUGCGGGAUGACGGCCUUCGGGUUGUAAACCGCUUUCGCCUGUGACGAAGCGUGAGUGACGGUAAUGGGUAAAGAAGCACCGGCUAACUACGUG